GAUGAACGCUGGCGGCGUGCCUAAUACAUGCAAGUCGAGCGAACGGACGAGAAGCUUGCUUCUCUGAUGUUAGCGGCGGACGGGUGAGUAACACGUGGAUAACCUACCUAUAAGACUGGGAUAACUUCGGGAAACCGGAGCUAAUACCGGAUAAUAUUUUGAACCGCAUGGUUCAAAAGUGAAAGACGGUCUUGCUGUCACUUAUAGAUGGAUCCGCGCUGCAUUAGCUAGUUGGUAAGGUAACGGCUUACCAAGGCAACGAUGCAUAGCCGACCUGAGAGGGUGAUCGGCCACACUGGAACUGAGACACGGUCCAGACUCCUACGGGAGGCAGCAGUAGGGAAUCUUCCGCAAUGGGCGAAAGCCUGACGGAGCAACGCCGCGUGAGUGAUGAAGGUCUUCGGAUCGUAAAACUCUGUUAUUAGGGAAGAACCUAUGUGUAAGUAACUGUGCACAUCUUGACGGUACCUAAUCAGAAAGCCACGGCUAACUACGUGCCAGCAGCCGCGGUAAUACGUAGGUGGCAAGCGUUAUCCGGAAUUAUUGGGCGUAAAGCGCGCGUAGGCGGUUUUUUAAGUCUGAUGUGAAAGCCCACGGCUCAACCGUGGAGGGUCAUUGGAAACUGGAAAACUUGAGUGCAGAAGAGGAAAGUGGAAUUCCAUGUGUAGCGGUGAAAUGCGCAGAGAUAUGGAGGAACACCAGUGGCGAAGGCGACUUUCUGGUCUGUAACUGACGCUGAUGUGCGAAAGCGUGGGGAUCAAACAGGAUUAGAUACCCUGGUAGUCCACGCCGUAAACGAUGAGUGCUAAGUGUUAGGGGGUUUCCGCCCCUUAGUGCUGCAGCUAACGCAUUAAGCACUCCGCCUGGGGAGUACGACCGCAAGGUUGAAACUCAAAGGAAUUGACGGGGACCCGCACAAGCGGUGGAGCAUGUGGUUUAAUUCGAAGCAACGCGAAGAACCUUACCAAAUCUUGACAUCCUUUGACAACUCUAGAGAUAGAGCCUUCCCCUUCGGGGGACAAAGUGACAGGUGGUGCAUGGUUGUCGUCAGCUCGUGUCGUGAGAUGUUGGGUUAAGUCCCGCAACGAGCGCAACCCUUAAGCUUAGUUGCCAUCAUUAAGUUGGGCACUCUAAGUUGACUGCCGGUGACAAACCGGAGGAAGGUGGGGAUGACGUCAAAUCAUCAUGCCCCUUAUGAUUUGGGCUACACACGUGCUACAAUGGACAAUACAAAGGGCAGCGAAACCGCGAGGUCAAGCAAAUCCCAUAAAGUUGUUCUCAGUUCGGAUUGUAGUCUGCAACUCGACUACAUGAAGCUGGAAUCGCUAGUAAUCGUAGAUCAGCAUGCUACGGUGAAUACGUUCCCGGGUCU
rnacentral:rRNA from 1 species